UACGUAGGGUGCGAGCGUUGUCCGGAAUUAUUGGGCGUAAAGGGCUCGUAGGCGGUUUGUCACGUCGGGAGUGAAAACUCGGGGCUUAACCCCGAGCCUGCUUCCGAUACGGGCUGACUAGAGGUAUGCAGGGGAGAACGGAAUUCCUGGUGUAGCGGUGAAAUGCGCAGAUAUCAGGAGGAACACCGAUGGCGAAGGCAGAUCUCUGGGCCGUAACUGACGCUGAGGAGCGAAAGCGUGGGGAGCGAACAGG
rnacentral:rRNA from 1 species